UACGUAGGGUGCGAGCGUUGUCCGGAAUUAUUGGGCGUAAAGAGCUCGUAGGCGGUUUGUCACGUCUGCUGUGAAAUCCCGAGGCUCAACCUCGGGCCUGCAGUGGGUACGGGCAGACUGGAGUGCGGUAGGGGAGAAUGGAAUUCCUGGUGUAGCGGUGGAAUGCGCAGAUAUCAGGAGGAACACCGAUGGCGAAGGCAGUUCUCUGGGACGGUACUGACGCUGAGACGCGAAAGCGUGGGGAGCGAACAGG
rnacentral:rRNA from 1 species